rnacentral:ncRNA from 1 species
AUUAUGCUGCCACCGGGUAGCAAGAUGCAUAGCAUUCAUAUGCACAUCGUUAGGUCUUAGAAGAUGUGUGUAGUGAAUGCUUUUUAUAU